rnacentral:lncRNA from 1 species
UCUGCCCUUUUGGGUAGGGGUAAGACUGCCUACAUAUUACCCUCCCCAGACCCCACCUGGUGGGAGUAUACUGGGUAGUUGUUGUUGUUGUUGUUGCCAAGUCUAACAUAAUGUUUUUAUGACGGGUUACUGCAUCCCAUUAUUUGAUUGAACUUUAUUGUGAAAAUUGGAAUUUACUUUUCCUUAGAUAUACUCAUCUCAAGGUUGUUUAACCCUGAACCAUGUCAGGUUAUGGUGUCUAGUGACUUUAAACAAUGUGGUUUUUUGUAGUUUUUUAGCUGAAGUGUAACACUUCCAUUCUGUCUAGCAUGUAAUGCAAUGGCGGGGUGUAGAAGUUUUAAUCUGCGGCAGUUAAUGACUUAAUUCACAGAUGAACAAAAUUGUAUUACUUGAAAGUCAAGUUGCUUUCUUCUUUGUCUGAAUUUGAAUUUGUGUAACUUAAAUCUGCGGCAGUUAAUUCACAGAUGAACAAAAUUGUAUUACUUGAAAGUCAAGUUGCUUUCUUCUUUGUCUGAAUUUGAAUUUGUGUAACUGUUAUGUAAAUUCCAUCUGGUAUACUAGUGGUUGCACUUGCAUGCAUACUGAUCAUAUGAAGCUUUGUAAUGAGCACUUCAAAUACACGUGGUUAGAUUUGUUAUGAGCACUUACAAAUACAUGUGAUUAGAUCUCAUCUGAGCAUUUGCUUUAUAAUUCUUGCAGACU